rnacentral:lncRNA from 1 species
AGGACUAUAACACUGAACUUCGAACAAACUAUGCCUUAGUAAAUAUAUUACAAUCUAAUGAAACAAACAUUACAAACAAUUUGACAUAUUACAACAAUUUCGACCUUAUAUUAUUAGUCCUCUUUAUUUAAUUAAUCUCUUUUGAAAACAAAAUUAAUUCUGGACUAAUAUUAAUUAAACAAUAUGAUUUCUCUUUUAAUAUAUUAUUCACAUAAUACAUUAAUAAAUCACAAUUAAUCUGCUUUCUCCAUAAUUCUACCUAUUAGUUACGAUGUUGAAGGCAACCCAAAAGGACCAUGCUCAUAAUCCGGUCAAGUACAUACAAAAAUAGUUAUGGGCUUAGACACUGUGACAACCCAAAAUUUCAAUCCUAUACAAGACACUAAUUUAAUCAAAGUUAGAAUCCUUUUGCUAGCUUUUAGCACUAUUUGGGGUCUAUUUGAGUGUUCUAAACCUAGUACAAUUAACGGAGAAACCUAGAAAUGGGAUAACACGAUGCAUAUCAAGAAAAAUCGGGCCAAACUCUCCAAAACAUGGAGUGUGCGGCCGCACACUUGAAUGUACGGCCACACAUAAGUGUGUGUGGCCGCACACCCAUCCCAGCCACUCACUCUUGCCUAUAUAUGCCAUCCUUAGUCAUUUAGAACACUUUUCCCACUCCUUCAAAGCUGGAACACGUUUUCUCUCAAGUGUCAUCCAAAUCUUCAUCUUGUUCUUCAUAAAAGUGAGUAAUAUUUCCUUUGAUUUGUUGGUACUUGAACUUAACUAGCCUUCUUCUCCACUUAGAUCCAUGAAAACACAUUUUUAGUGUUAGGUCUCCAAGACACCAAGAACACAUACUAAACUUUUUGGAGUUUAACCAUACUUCUAAGCCUCUAGAUCGUAUAAACACUUAUCAUAGCUUGUUAUAUUCCAAGAACACUUGAAGAUCUUCUGGAAACAAGCCAUAUCUCAUGAUCUUUAGGAGUGUACGGCUGCACACACCAUGUGCAACCAUACACACCCCUUUUUGGUCCUAAAAUGGCAAUAAACUCCAUAUAAGGCUAAAACAUGAGCAGAGAAACCUUCCUAGAUGGGUUCUAAAGACUUAAAAUAGGUUUUGACACACUUCUUAGGGAGUGUGCGGCCGCACACACACCCUGGCCACACACACACCAAUAUGGUGUAUGUUGACCAUACACUCCCUUGUAUAGCCAUACACCCCUUAUAUACAACCACAUAUGAUUGAAACACUUCAAAAUAUGUGUUUACUAGUCCCUAAGGUGGUCCCAGUUCAAAAACUAGUGCUUACAAACACUAAUUGUACGCAUACAUAUGUCAUUAUAUGGUUAAUAGGAUUAGUUUGUGAUCAAGUCCACAAUUGACACCCAACCUCCUAAACUGAUCCUACCAUCGCCUCACUCACUACAGGUCAGUUCAUACCCCUUAACAAACCUUUUAAAUGUUUUUAAAAUGCUCUUAUGUGGGGGGGGGGGGGAAUACAAGUUGAAUCAUACUAGUUAUUAUAUCAAUCACAUGUGAUUAAUAACUCGCAUACAAAUGGAUUUCCUAUACUUUAAACUGUUUUGUCAACCAAAACUACUUGCAAACGAUUAUCAAACCCUUUUACAUGUUAAACUCUUUAUAAAACUUAGUUUUAGUAUCCAAAUCUUUACAUUCAAAACUCUUUAAACUUAUAUACUGUCAAAUCAUGUCCAAUACAUAUAUAGUUACACAAGUAAGGUUUGAAGGACUUAGGACUGCUAAUACGCUCUAUCUCCUGUUCCUUCUUUGGUUGUGGACUUAGAAUCCCCUAUUGGUUGUCCGAGUGUCGUAUGAUCUAUAGUUAUAUAUCAUGUGUAUAUGCAUAGACAUAAAAGCUUUUUGUUUUAUUUCAAUACACUCAAUUAUAUAAAUAAUCUUCUAGUAAACUAUAAUAGGUAUAGUUUAGUGAUAUACUACUUACUACUUCUAGCACCAUGAAACAUACAAAGAGUCAGUUCAUACAUGAGUCAAUACAUACUAUAAACAAUACAUACUUUAUACCAUACAAUUGAACAUACUACACACUAGAAAGAGAGAACAUACACUAUUACACACUAUUCAUACACACUAAAUACUAUACUAAAGAAUAUACUAUGAUAAGAAUCAGGGAGGACAUUCACUACACUAUUACAUACAUACUAUAACACAAAUGUGAACCACUGUUUCGUGGCACGGAACCACCUGCCAUCGCUUGAUAUGUAUCCAGAAUAUCCUGGAGGGAGAACAUGAAUUUGUUUAUAGAUCUAUACUGGAUUGACAAUCCUACACCUUACUGCUAGCUACAGUGGGAUCCGCAGAUCUUCGGGUGACAAAUGUCAUUACUGUUCGACGUAUUACAGCAUCGUGAUUUCCCCUAGUCAAUUAGUACCAUUACAAAUAUAUCACAUUAUACCUUAAUUAACAUUUGGUUUAAGGUAAUAAGUACAGCAGUAAUUACCAUAUCCUAAUACUACAGUACUUCAUUAUUCCUUUUCUCCAUUAUAUCUACUUUGUGAUCUUCUCACAUAAACAGUAAUGAGAGAACUACAUUUUAUUAAAUGAUAAUCACAUUUGGAAGAAAUACUCACUUUACAAUAAACAAACAUGCAGAACUUGAUGCCUUGGUAGAAGGCUACUUUUAAUAGAAAAUAUAGGUUUUUCUAAGGGUUACAAACAACUACCACAAACAUUUUUACAAACUUGUACACUCAAUACUUACAAUCCUUUUGAUGCAAACAACGACACUAAAAUACUUAUGAACUCGCCAGCUUUAAUGUUGAUAAACUCUUUCAAAAUAUCUUGUAUUCUCAGGUCAUCAGUAGUCAGGUACCGAUGCCAUCUUUUGAGAAGAUGGAGUGCUUACGAGACUCCUCUUUUAUUUUGAUUCAUAAGUUUGGUGUCUAUAAAAUGUACACAACACACUUGUAUUAAAAUACAUUAUUAAUGAAAUUAAUGAUGUUGUUUGCUUGUUUACUGUGUUUUUGUGUUGUGAUGAUAUACAUCACGUCCUUCGCCCCAGAACGUUUCCGCCAUUCUCAGUUUUGAGGUGUGACAGAUUGGUAUCAGAGCAUCAUUUAUAGUGAAUUAAGUAUAUCAACCCAUAAAAGAUAUACUAACUAUAAACACAAUGAGAUUAAAAUACUCUGACGAGGAGUUUAUACUUUUGAAUAAUAAAAUAUUUAACUAAGUAUACAUACCUGCAUUCAUACUAAAAUCACUGUCACUAGGACAGAACAAAAGUAUUACGAUUGUUGAACGUUACAAGUACAGUAGGGGAUGUAAGGUCAGUUCUGGGACUGGCAUACCCUGAUCAAGUAUGCUGGUCCGAGAAGUGAUUACUAUAUGCCCAGGAAUGGUUGUGAUAUGGCAGCAAGUCUAAAAACUUACCAACACUACUACAAUGAGGAUAUUAGAACAAAACAUAAACCUAAAAUACUAUAGGAGUAUUUUUUGUUACUGUAAUUACUUUUCUGAGAACUAAAAAGGUCUUUAUUGAUAGGUCAAUUGUUGCUAAAUGGAUGCGCUGAGGUUAUGUGUAUCUAGGAUGUCAUAGACUUAGAAUCUAUGAUCUUUGCCUUACUCCCUGUUCCUUGUUUAGUUGUGGGCUUAGAUUUAGGGUCACUUAUUCGAAGGUCUAUCCUGUUUUGAAUACACAUAACUGGUAUGCACUAUGCAAAUAUUGAAGCAACUAAUAAAGAUUAUAUUAUAAUUAUCUUAAAUAGUACGUUUAUAUAUAUAGGAUUCUUAUACCCCUUUUCUCGCGUAGAUAUCAUGGCUGGAUUCCAUCCUCCUGGUGACCCGUACUUCCCAAAUCAAGGCAAUGCUGGAUGGCUUCACUAUGAGCCGGAAGAUGACCAUCCAAUCCCUUUGGAUGAUCACCUCGCUGAAGGCUUUUCUAAUGGUUCCGACUCCGAGCCAUAAGUCAAUGACCUACCCCCUGUGGCCCCGGUCCCGAUUCCUAACCCCGUUAGGCUUUUCAGGGCUCGACGCCUGGAUGGGUAGACUGCAUAGAACCAUGGGGCGAAGAGCAAAAUCAGACCAUGCCAUUCAAUGGAGACCGAAGCUUUUAUGACACGAGUAAAGGAGGACCAGCGGACAUAGUUUUGCCAAUCCUGGUCCGAAGGGUUGCCCGCAACAAAAUCCAGGGCAGGACCGCUCUCCAGCGCAUCAGGGAGGUUCAUACAAAUGCAAGAAUGCAUUCCAUUCGCACCGGCCACCUAAAGCAUGCUUGGGAGAGGUCUAGAACGGACCACGAGGCCCUACCGCAAGCACUAUCUGAGACUCAGGCUGAAGUCAUAGAGCUUCGGGUUCGCCAGAGAGUCUACGAGCGACACCUUCUCGAAGUGGAGCGUCAGCUGGCAGACCUUACGGUUCUCCCGAGGAAUGUCCGUCACCGGUAGAAGAUGUUUAGUGUAUAUUUUCUUUUGAAUCAAGGAAUAGCCUUCCCUAACUAUGCUCUAUGAAGCAAUUGUCUAUAAAAUAUUUUUACUUUCGAACCACUCUAACUAAGAAUCUAAAAACUAUCAACCUUUAUCCUUAUGGUAUGAUGUAAGACCUAUAGUUAGGUCAUUUUUCCCUGAACUUGUUACAUCAAUAAUACCAGUAAUAUUGAAAAUUAUCUAAUCUGUUGGAAAAAUCUGUACUCUUGUGUCUCUCUACUCAUCUACUGUAUUUCCAUUUCAAAACAUACACUCAUUCAACUGUUAGACUAUGGCUAUUUAGCCCAUGCAUCACUCUCACUAUGCUUACAAUUGAUUCUUACUAUCAUUUUCAUCUUUUAAACUUAUAAUCAAAAGAUGCCUCCUCGCAAAUCAACAAGGUAUAAUCCUCCACCUCCACCACCACCUCCACCGCAAUACGAUGCAGCUGGUCUAAAUGAUGUAGUAGCUACGGCUGUGGCAACACCCACGGCACAAUAUCAAUCUACUGAUGCCAGCAGAGGUGGAACCCCUAUUAACUCUACUCAAGGUGAACUCCUUGUGCACUCGAGGGAGUGCUCCUAAAAGGACUUCACAAACUGUAAGUGAAAGCCCUUCAAAGGGACUGGCGGAGUCAUUGCCCUCUCGCAAUGGUUCGAAAAGACGGAGUCGAUUUUCGAGAUUUGCUCCUGCCCUGCCGCGAGUAAGAUCAAGUUUGAUGUUUGUACCUUUGAGCAGAAAGCCCUGACAUGGUGGAACGGCCAUGCCAAGUCACUAACUCUUGUAGUGGCUAAUGACAUGGGCUAGGAAACUCUGAAAGACCUCAUGAUCGAGGAAUACUGCCCGAGGGGCGAAAUCCAGAAGUUGGAAUAGAAUCUGUGGAGCCUAACCAUGAAGGGCUCCGACAUAGUUUCUUAUACCGCCAGAUUCAGCGAGCUGGUGGCCCUCUGUCCCAACAUGGUUCCCAAAGAGGGAAAAAAGAUAGAGAGGUAUAUAUGGGGAUUGUUGCCUCCGGUUCAGGGGAAUGUGUUACCUUCAAACCCCACUACCUUCAACAGUGCUAAGCGAUUGGCACAGCGUAUCAUUGACCAUGGGGUCCGUACCCUAUCUGCAACAACAAACCUAGCCAUCCCCGAACCUUCCAAACCCGCUAACAACAAGCGUAAGUUCUAGGAUGACAAGAAGUAGCAGAAAGCUGCAUAAAAGUAGCAAGUUGUUAAGGUUCAUGCCGCAAUAGCACCUGCCGCUGCUACUCCGACGAAGCAGUACGCUGGAAACAUGCCUAAGUGCAACAAAUGUAGCUUCCACCACAAUGGACCCUGCCGAGAAUUGCAGUGCUCCAACUACAACAACAAGGGACACACUGUCCGCUUCUGUAGAUCCCCGACAAGGCCAAUCAACCAGGUCCCUGGUGCUGGUGUGCCUCAGUUAUGCUAUGGAUGUGGCGAAGUGGGCCACUAUAAAAGGGACUGCCCCAAGGCAAGAAAUGUUGGUGGAGCGGGAAAAGUUCUGGCUAUAGGCCACGGAGAAGCAGUUGUUGACCCUACGGUGGUGACUAGUACGUUUCUUCUUGAAAACUCUUAUGCAUGUAUACUAUUUGAUAGUGGAGCGGAGAGAAGUUUCGUAAAUUAGAAAUUUGCACGCUUACUUAAACAACAACCACGCGCACUUACGGAACCAUUCACUAUAGAAAUGCCUAAUGGGAAGAAUGCGAGUACUAGUAGCAUUUACAUAGGAUGUACUCUAACUCUAGAUAGCCAUUCAUUUCCCAUCAACCUCAUGUCGGUCUCGAUUAAAAGCUUCGACGUCAUCAUCAACAUGGAUUAGUUGUGUCUUCAUCGCGCUGACAUUAUGUGUUACGAAAAGGCUGUACACCUUAAUCUUCCAUCUAAUGAAACUCUCGUUAUCUACACCGACAAACCCAUACAUCUUUCCUGAAGAACUACCAGGGUUACCUCCGCAACGACAGGUUGAGUUCCGGAUCGACUUAGUUUCAGGAGCUACCCCACUAGCCAAAUCGCCCUAUCGUCUAGCACGAGCUGAGAUACAGGCUAUCUGAUUAACUUAACGAACUACUCAGCAAGGGAUUUAUUAGACCAUGCUUCUUACCCUGGGGAGCACCGGUCUUGUUCGUCAAGAAGAAAGACAGAUCGUUUCGUAUGUGCAUCGACUACAGGGAGCUCAACAAGCUAACGAUUAAAAAUCAUUACCCUUUGCCUCGCAUAGACGAUUUUUUUGACCAACUUCAAGGGCCAUCUUACUUUUCAAAGAUUGAUCUAAGGUCCGGAUAUCACCAGUUGCAAGUGUUAGAGGAGGAUGUUCCGAAGACAGCCUUCCAAACUCAUUACGGACACUACAAGUUCGUAGUAUUCAUGGAUCUAAUGAAUCGAGUAUGUCGUCCUUACUUGGAUUAGUUCGUCAUUGUCUUCAUCGAUGACAUAGUUAUCUACUCUCGAAGUGUGGAGGAACAAAGUAAUCAUCUGCGGCAAGUCCUAGAAACCAUACAAAUAGAGAAACUUUAAGCGAAGUUCUCUAAAUGCAUAUUUUGGAUCCGAAGGGUCGAAUUCUUAGGACAAGUGGUUAGCGAUGAAGGAAUCCACGUGGACCCUUACAUGAUUAACGCCAUUGAGAAUUGGUCAGCACCAAAGACGCCUACCAAACUUUGUCAAUUUCUAGUCCUUGCUGGCUACUACCGCAGAUUCAUACAAAACAUCUCCCGAAUUGUGAAACCUCUUACAACGUUGACCCAGAAGGGCGUGACCUUUGACCGGGAAGAGAAACAAGAGAAGGCAUUCCAAACGUUGAAACGAGCCUUGUGCACCGCACCGAUAAUAUCCCUUCUCAAAGGAAUAUAAGACUUCGUAGUCUACUGUGAUGUGUCAAAUCAAGGGCUCAGGUGUGUUCUGAUGCAACGAGGUAAGGUCAUCGCCUAUGCCUUAAGGCAGCUGAAAACACAUGAAGUCAACUACACCACACACGACCUUGAGUUAGGAGCAGUUGUGUUUGCUCUAAAGAUCUGGAGACACUACCUGUAUGGUACAAAAAGCACGAUCUUUACAGACCACAAAAGCCUACAACACAUAUUCAACCAUAAGGAAAUCAAUAUGAGGCAACGAAGGUGGGUCGAGUUACUCAAUGACUACGAAUGCGAAAUUUGUUAUCAUCCGGGUAAAGCCAAUGUAGUAGCAGACACCCUAAGUCGGAAAGAAUAUUCUGGUCGAAGAUUCAGAUCACUGACUAUGACUAUCCAUUAACAUAUGCCCACUCAAAUUAAGGAGGCUCAGCUUGAAGCUUUGAAACCUGAAAAUAUAACAGGUGAAUCCCUGCGAGGGAUGGAGAAGAAUCUGGUAGUCAAGGGUGACGGAGCCUUAUUUCUCAUGGACCGGAUCUGGACACCGAAGCACGGUGGCUUCAGAGACUUGGUCAUGACCGAGGAGCACAACACUCGAUAUUCUGUCCACCUGGGUUCAGAUAAGAUGUAUCUGGAUCUUAAAAAUCAAUAUUGGUGGCCUAACAUGAAAGCAGAGAGUGCUACCUUCGUGAGUAAAUGCCUUACUUGCGCAAAGGUUAAGGUCGAAUACCAGAAACCAUCGGGCUUUCUUCAACAACCGGAGAUACCGAAGUGGAAAUGGGAGCGGAUAAUUAUGGACUUCAUAACCAAGUUGCCCAAGACAACGGGUUAACUUGGUACCAUUUUGGUCAUUAUCGAUAGAUUGACCAAAUCCGUGCAUUUCCUACCCAUCAAAAAGACUGACAAAAUGGAGAAGCUUACAAGAACUUACAUUAGGGAAAUCAUACGACAACAUGGUGUCCCUAUAUCCAUUAUCUCUGAUAGAGAUAGUAGGUUCACUUCAAGGUUCUGGCAGUCGCUACAAAGUUCCCUGGGGACGACACUGGACAUGAGUACAGCCUACCACCCAUAGACCGACGGACAAAGUGAGAGAAUGAUACAAACACUGGAGGAUAUGUUGAGAUCUUGUGUGAUUAAUUUUGGGAAGGCAUGGGAUACUCACUUACCCCUUAUCAAAUUUUGCUACAACAACAGUUAUCACACGAGUAUAAAGGUUGCUCCAUUUGAAGCCCUCUAUGGCCGAAAGUGCAGAUCCGCUCUGUGCUGGGCUGAGGUGGGUGACACUCAGUUAGCUAAAGGACAAGUUCAUGACCGCACUGUCACAGGUCUGGAGAUCAUCCGGGAAAUAACAGAGAAGAUCGUUCAGAUCUGUGAAUGAUUGAAAGCCUCUAUAGACCGAUAGAAAAGCUACGCAGACAAAUGAAGGAAAACUUUGGAAUUCCAGGUGGGAGACCGUGUUCUUUUGAAAGUCUCACCCUUGAAGGGCUUAAUACACUUUGGAAAGCGUGGGAAGCUAAAUCCAAGAUACAUAGGGCCUUUCGAGAUUCUUGCCCGAAUCAGCCAUGUAGCUUACAAACUCAAUCUACCGCAUGAACUCAAUAACGUACAUUCUACAUUCCACGUCUCGAACUUGAGAAAGUGUCUAUCCAACGAGACUAUUGUAAUCCCACUCGACGAGAUCAAGAUCAACGAGAGCCUCAACUUCGUGGAAAAACCUGUACCCUCAUCUUUUCGCUUAGUUUUGUAACUAUUUACUGCUUAAACUCUCAUUUCAAGACACAAUUCCCUCUAACGGGGGGAUGAUGUGACAACCCGAAGUUUCUAUCCGGUACAAGAGACUAAUUUUAUCUAAGUUAGACUCGUUUUACUAGCUUUUAGCACUGUUCGGGGUUUAUUUGAGUGUUCUAAACCUAGUACAAUUAAGGGAGGAACCUAGAAAUGGGAUAACACGAUGCAUAUCAAGCAAAAUCGAGUUAAACACUCCAAAACAUGGAGUGUGCGGCCAUACACUUGAGUGUAUGCCCACACACAGGUGUGUGCAGCCGCACACCCAUCCCAGUCACACACUCUUGCCUAUAUAUGCCAUCCUUAGUCAUUUAGAACACUUUUCCCACUCCUUCAAAGUUGGAACACAUUUUCUCUCAAGUGUCAUCCAAAUCUUCAUCUUGUUCUUCAUAAAAGUAAGUAAUACUUCCUUUGAUUUGUUGGUACUUGAACUUAACUAGCCUUCUUUUCCACUUAGAUCCAUGAAAACAUGUUUUUGGUGUUAGAUCUCCAAGAACACCAAGAACACAUACUAAACUUUUUGGUGUUUAACCAUAC